AUCCAUCUGACGAGUCACAAACAGGACGAAACGCGCGUCCUGGAU
rnacentral:hammerhead_ribozyme from 1 species